GGAUGUGAGGGCAAUGGGGCUGUGGCAUCUGUCUCCCCACUGAUCACCAGGAUUGAUUCCAGAAUCUGGCUGGCAAGGCCUGGCAGGCUGCAUGGGUGUCCCCUUCUUCCCUCACCACUCCAUGUGUGUCCCUCCUGAAACUGUGCAAUUAGACAAAGAGGAUAGCCUUCUCCAAGACAGGGAGAUGUUCUUCAGACACAAGUGUAUAAGUGGCUGCAUUACCCAGCCAGAACCAACAAACAAGCUCUCAAAGAAGGGAAUAACAACUUCAGAGACAUUCAUCAUCUCCAUAAUCCUUUAACAAAAGAAUAAUCUGAUCUUU
rfam:Dipodomys ordii contig_6248, whole genome shotgun sequence.